AGUCGAGCGGAUGAGAGGAGCUUGCUCCUGGAUUCAGCGGCGGACGGGUGAGUAAUGCCUAGGARUCUGCCUGGUAGUGGGGGACAACGUUUCGAAAGGAACGCUAAUACCGCAUACGUCCUACGGGAGAAAGCAGGGGACCUUCGGGCCUUGCGCUAUCAGAUGAGCCUAGGUCGGAKUAKMUAKUUGUGUGUAGAGUGUAAGUGGYUCACCAAGGCGACGAUCCGUAACUGGUCUGAGAGGAUGAUCAGUCACACUGGAACUGAGACACGGUCCAGACUCCUACGGGAGGCAGCAGUGGGGAAUAUUGGACAAUGGGCGARAGCCUGAUCCAGCCAUGCCGCGUGUGUGAARAAGGUCUUCGGAUUGUAAAGCACUUUAAGUUGGGAGGAAGGGYUGUAGAUUAAUACUCUGCRRUUUUGACGUUACCGASAGAAUAAGCACCGGCUAACUCUGUGCCAGCAKCCGCGGUAAUACAGAGGKUGCAAGCGUUAAUCCCGAAUUACUGGGCGUAAAGCGCGCGUACGUGGUUUGUUAAGUUGSAUGUGAAAUCCCCKGGCUCAACCUGKKAACUGCRUCC
rnacentral:rRNA from 1 species